rnacentral:lncRNA from 1 species
AGCUGCAGACCUUCACGGGGAGUGUUACAGCUCUUAAGGUGGCACAUCUGGAGUUUGUUCCUUCUGACGUUCAGAUGUGUUCGGAGUUUCUUCCUUCUGGUGGGUUCGUGAUCUCGCUGGCUCAGGAGUGAAGCUGCAGACCUUCAGGGGGAGUGUUACAGCUCUUAAGGUGGCGCGUCUGGAGUUUCUUCCUUCUGGUGGGUUCGUGAUCUCGCUGGCUCAGGAGUGAAGCUGCAGACCUUCACGGAUCUCGCUGUGUUGCCCGGGCUGGUCUCAAACUUCUGGACACAAACAAUCCUCCACAUUGGCCUCCCAAAAUGCUGGAAUUACAGGUGUGAGCCACUGGACCAGCAGGACUCUAAAUUUUGGUGCUCAAAAAACAUUUGUUGAGUAAGUGAACCUGAGACUAUCAACAAGCAUUAUUUUAAAAUCACUAGCAAAGGAGAUUGUAAAAUCAGGAAGUAUAUCUAAGUCACCUCCAGUAGCCGUAACUCUACCUUGUCCAGUAAAAGGGACAGGACCUCUAUAUGUUGCUCAGGCUGGAGUGUGGCAGCUAUUCACGGAUGUGAUUAUAGUACACUACAGCCUCAACUCCUGGGCUCAAGCAAAGCUUCCCAAAUCGGUGGGACUAUAGGCACACGCCACUGUGCUGUUCAAUAAUAAGAUUUCUGUCUAACACCACUGCGCCUGUUUCCUUGAUAAAUAUUUAUUAUCUGUGUUUAUUUAUUUUAUCCUGGGAGAACAUACAAGAUUUCGGGGUCAGAGAACAGACUGAUUGUUUUAUGUACAGCAAUAACAGCACUGGCUCCCCACUCCCUAUUUCUCCUUUGAAGCCGUGCUGUGAAGGUAGAUGUCAGCCUGCACAUGCAAAGGGGUCGCUGCAUAAGACGAAUCCUGAAAUUGUGUAACUGGGAGUUUAUAUGAAGUGCCUCUCAGCAGCCCCGCCAACCCUCCUCCCUCUAGAGAGGGGAAGAGAAGUCAUCACUGUCUAAUGUGAAGGAAUUCUCUCUGGGAAGGGAGGAGACGGUCCCUAAAUUGUUACAACCCUUUGAAAUGUAAAGGAAGCCUCUGGAUUGUUUCUCAUUCUUUUAAAUGUAAAUAAAUGGCAAA